ACACACAAAAAAGGUGUCAAUGAUCCAUGCAUGUCCAUUGUCCCGCCGAAGGGUGGUCUUUACAUCCUGGGAUAAGAGGCAGCUGGGUGUCGGGGGAUAAUGAGUGGAACGUCUCCCUAAGAGGAUUACUAGGUUGUUAACGCGCACCGCCACUACCGUGUGCAUGGUGCAUCAGAACCAGAACUUGCUCCAGUGUCCAGUCAGAAGGAAGGCAAUAUGGGUGCAUGCACGUUUGGAUAGCGUUCCAAUCCAAGAUGAUCUCGAGUCGUUUUGAACUCCUGAGGGCCACAGGCGGCACGUUACACACUUCGCGCCUGCACCGUAGAGCGGUUUCCUGAACAGGCUUUUUUUUAUUUUAUUUUUAUUUUUGGGGGGGGGCUUAGAAGCCAUGAAGACUCGACCUGCUGGGAUCGGGAACGUCAAUGCUGACUGGAUGGGCUCGCUGCCCCCCAAACUCAGUGGCCUGCCCCUCAAACACCUCGCAGUUCCAGGCUCCCAUGACUCGUUCACCUACUGGGUGGAUGUGCAUGCUCCUGUAGGUCCUGAUCAAAAGGUCUAUGUGAAGUACCUGGCUACCAUGUUUAGCGUUUUAGCCAAGAAGGUCAUGGUGAAGUGGUCCAUGACCCAGAACCUGACGUUUAAGGAGCAACUGGAUGCAGGUAUUCGCUACUUUGAUCUCAGGGUCUCUUCUAAACCAGGAGAGCCAGGGCUUGAGAUCUUCUUCAUCCAUGGUCUGUUUGGACACAAGGUGAGAGAUGGCCUUACAGAAAUCAACUCCUUCUUGCGCGAGCACAGGAAAGAGGUAAUCUUCUUGGACUUCAACCAUUACUAUGUGAUGGGCUCGGAGCACCACGAAUACCUCAUCAAGAUGCUUCAGGAAGUGUUCAGCAGUAAGCUCUGUAAGAACUGUGAAGUGGAGACCGUCACUAUGGACUACCUGUGGGAGCGCAAAUACCAGCCACUUCGUGUAGCUCUUCCGGGUGGAUCCCUCGGGCAGCCGGGAGACCCGGUCUCUCCAGUGUAUCGUGGAUCGUCCCCAGGGCCUCCUUCCUGUGGGACUUGCCCGGAACCCCUCAUCAGGGAGGCGUCCGGGGGCCAUCUUAACCAGACGCCCGUGCCGCCUCCUUUGGCUCCUCUCAAUGCAGACGAACGGGGGCUCGACUCUGAGAGCCCGGACGCCCUGCGGGGGAAAUUCAUUUCGGCCGUUAGUCCCCGCGAUCUUGUUCUUUCAAUACGUCUGGGUCUGCCAGGUUGGACUGGCAUCUUCCUCGCCAUCGUACCCCACCUCCGGACCUGGCUCCAGAGGGGGGCCCUGGUGACCUGCGUCCGGGACCUGUUUGCCAUGGGUGACCCCACCAGGGGCGUGAAGCCCCAGACAACGUAGCUCUGAGGAUCAUUGGGACACACGAACCCCUCCACCACCAUAAGGUGACGACUCCAGGAGGGGUGAAGCAGUACAGCCACGAGAAACUCUACGAAAGGAAGCGAAUAGACUGUUGGGCGUAAAUGAAUAUCAUUUUCAUGGAAUAAAUAUUGGAAUUUAGGUUGUAAAUGUAGGUCAGUGCUUCUGAUAGUGUUCAGGCAAGCAGAGAAGGCCUUGCUGGCCCUGAAUUCCCAUGACUGAUGCAACAGCACGAUGUUUUGCACCCCGUGCACGAGCAAAACCACACUAAAGUGUGCAGCCAGUGCUCAUGUAAUCCCUGCCGGUGUGAGCGACUCUCCCGAAUUAAGUGUCAUCUCAUUAACCUGCGUUUCAUUGUCCAGUCUGCCCCGGAUACUUAUCCCCUUGUCAGAGUUUCCGUGGCCCAUUUUGUUACAGGUUAUCACUGCAGAUUAAUAUAAUUGCAUUACGCUCAUGUCAUAUGUAGAUUUUAUUCUUUAUUCUAUGUUAUUUUAUUUGUUUUUAAGAAAACCAUCGGAAAAGGUGAGUGUUGGAAAAUGUACACAUGUAAAUUUGGGGGUGUGGCAUCAUGCUCAAAAACCAUAUGUUUGUGAGUUAUUUAUUCGGGACUGUUGGUUAAAGUCUUGACCCUAAUCUGUGUCUGAUUUAGUUGGCAAGCAAAAGGAGACAGCGGCUUUGUACAGUGAUCAGCAGCAGAGGGCAGUAUUGCCAUAUAUUGUUUUCUUUUUACUUUUUGGGCCUUUGGACUUGUGCUUUUAUUUGAUUUGAUAUAAAAGAAUAGAUCUCCCAAAAUGUCAUUGCUUAUAUUUACCGAACUGUAAAACACUGAUGGCGUGGGUGCAAACGGAGGGUCUAUUUUUGUUGUUGUUACGUGGCACAGGCUAAAACAACUGGAGGACGUUGAUGAAGUUUGUAUUUUGAAGGCUUUCUUUGAUGUUAUUACACACCAUAACUAUAGUAUGCAGGAAAUAAACUCAUUUUCCAUGUCCACUGGGAACUGCUCAGAGUUACGAAUCAUCCCACAGUAACACUCGCGCGAUUCAUCCAUCCGUUUUCCCGACCGCUCAUCCUCACAAGGGUCAAAGGUAAUCGUUUUCUACCAUCAUCCAUCGGCUCAGGGAGUCCCUGUCAUGUGGCCAGGCAACAAGAUCCCCGCGCC